rnacentral:rRNA from 1 species
UACGUAGGGGGCAAGCGUUGUCCGGAUUUAUUGGGCGUAAAGAGCGUGUAGGCGGCCAGGUAGGUCUGCUGUGAAAACUCGAGGCUCAACCUCGAGAUGUCGGCGGAAACCAUCUGGCUAGAGUCCGGAAGAGGAGAAUGGAAUUCCCGGUGUAGCGGUGAAAUGCGCAGAUAUCGGGAAGAACACCCGUGGCGAAGGCGGCGACCUGGGCCAAUACUGACACUGAGGUGCGAAAGCGUGGGGAGCAAACAGG